rnacentral:rRNA from 1 species
UAGUCCACGCCGUAAACGAUGAUCACUCGCUGUCUGCGAUACACAGUAGGCGGCUGAGCGAAAGCAUUAAGUGAUCCACCUGGGGAGUACGAUCGCAAGGUUGAAACUCAAAGGAAUUGACGGGGGCCCGCGCAAGCGGAGGAACAUGUGGUAUAAUUCGAUGAUACGCGAGGAACCUUACCUGGGCUUAAAUGUAGAUUGCAUAAUUUAGAAAUAGAUUUUCCCUUCGGGGCUAUUUACAAGGUGCUGCAUGGUUGUCGUCAGCUCGUGCCGUGAGGUGUCGGGUUAAGUCCCAUAACGAGCGCAACCCCUAUCGUUAGUUGCCAGCAAGUUAUGUUGGGGACUCUAACGAGACUGCCUUCGCAAGGGAGUGAGGAAGGCGGGGAUGACGUCAAAUCAUCAUGGCCCUUACGCCCAGGGGCGACACACGUGCUACAAUGGACAGUACAACGGGUAGCCAACUGGGCGACAGUGCGCCAAUCCCUAAAAGCU